GAUGAACGCUGGCGGCGUGCCUAAUACAUGCAAGUCGAGCGAACAGACGAGGAGCUUGCUCCUCUGACGUUAGCGGCGGACGGGUGAGUAACACGUGGAUAACCUACCUAUAAUACUGGGAUAACUUCGGGAAACCGGAGCUAAUACCGUAUAAUAUAUUGAACCGCAUGGUUCAAUAGUGAAAGACGGUUUUGCUGUCACUUAUAGAUGGAUCCGCGCCGCAUUAGCUAGUUGGUAAGGUAACGGCUUACCAAGGCAACGAUGCGUAGCCGACCUGAGAGGCUGAUCGCCCACACUGGAACUGAGACACGGUCCAGACUCCUACGGGAGGCAGCAGUAGGGAAUCUUCCGCAAAGGGCGAAAGCCUGACGGAGCAACGCCGCGUGAGUGAUGAAGGUCUUCGGAUCGUAAAACUCUGUUAUUAGGGAAGAACAAAUGUGUAAGUAACUAUGCACGUCUUGACGGUACCUAAUCAGAAAGCCACGGCUAACUACGUG
rnacentral:rRNA from 1 species